AUUGAACGCUGCGGCAGGCUUAACACAUGCAAGUAGAGCGAGCGGCGUACGGGUGAGUAAUGCUUGCGUAUCUGCCUAUUAGUGGGGGACAACAUCUCGAAAGGGAUGCUAAUAUCGCAUCGUAAUAGCUGCGCUUAAGUGGGAUUCGCUAGUUGGUGGGGUAAAGGCCUACCAAGGCGACGAUCUAUAGCGGGUCUGAGAGGCUGAUCCGCCACACUGGGACUGAGACACGGCCCAGACUCCUACGGGAGGCAGCAGUGGGGAAUAUUGGGCAAUGGGGGGAAACCUGAUCCAGCCAUGCCGCGUGUGUGAAGAAGGCCUUAUGGUUGUAAAGCACUUUAAGCGAGGAGGCGUUACUCGCAGAAUAAGCACCGGCUAACUCUGUGCCAGCAGCCGCGGUAAUAC
rnacentral:rRNA from 1 species